AAAGGCUCUUCCUUGCCUCAGUAUCUUUCAUUUCAGUUAGUAUGUUACAUUUUUCUACUAUUAAAGCUUUGUUUCAUAUAUAUACACGAGCUGUUUACCUCACUGGAUGAAAAGACAAACCCUGCUAAAGAAGGAGAAGGUGUAAUAUCUUUGACUGGCUGCCCAUGAUUGUCAAGGAGGUUUACCACCAUCUCCAUAGGAUCUCAGACUCAGCACCAAAGAGACACUUUCAGCAAUUGUCAGCCUCGCCACAAAGCGUCUGAGCCCGGUGGUGGACAGCUUGCUGGAGUGCUCAGCAGAGUGCGAUGAAAGAGCCACAGCGAUAUGGAAGGCCUUAGCCACCGAUCCUUACUCCGGCAGCAAGCUGAUGAAACCCACCCUCCAAAGGCUUCAGGAUAAAGACCCCAAUUACAGGCGGUGCAGCACGUCACAAACUCCGGUAGUGGUACAAAACCAUUCAGUUUUUCUCUCCUGGAUUGUUCUUGAAUGGGAGCUGGAUGGGGGUGGGGGCUUCUUGCUGGGAGGGGGGGUACAUCUUAAUAACUGGCCUAGCAGCAUCUUAGCGGUCCAUCGCUGUGAGGCUCAGUGGCAGAGCACCUGCCUUGUAUGCAGAAGGGCCCCAGCAUCUCCAUGUCGGGGUGUCCCUCACCUGAAACCCUGGACAGCCACUGCUAGUCAGUGCAGACAACACUAAGUGAGAUGGACCAGGGUCCUGAGCUGCAUCCUGCAGAGGGUUGGGAGAUCUUGAUCUGAUGAUGACCUCUGCUGAAUGCCGUUCUCCUGUCCUGAAAAUACGUAUCUCGGGCGUCACAGGCUGGGGCAAAGAGGUGCACCUUCAGCGGAACACUUAGCGGUUCUUCCUGCCAGCUUCAGGCUUGUGCAUCCUGUCUCUUACUCUGAUGUUUCAGGACCUUGUUCACAUCCUCGACAGAACAGUACAAGAACAUUGCCAGACUGGCCAGAGAUAACAUGCGCCAUCCGAACACUAAGAAAAGAGCCAUAGGGAUGUUUCAGGACCUUGUUCACAUCAUCCCUGGGGCAAUACAAGAGCAUUGCCAGACUGACACGGGAAUAUAUGCGUCAUCCCAACUCGAAGAAAAGAGCCAUAGGCAUGGCAUUCUACUUGGAGGUGAGGGUCGGAAAUGGGGAACGCCUGCAGGCGCUCCUGCUUUGAAACAACUGUGCCCAGGCAGGCAAGGAAAGCAGAGGGUGUAAGAAGGUCUCGUGGGGGGGAGGGAAGCAUGCAACACACCUAUGUGGGGAGCGAACUCCACAAUUUACCACUCUUCUCUAAAUCCAUUUGCAUUCAUCAUUGUUUCAUAAGAACAGGGCAGAGCAGAUAAUGUCUACAGGGAGCGUGGAAUGAAAUCCGCAAGAGCAAAUCUGGAUUCUGGGGUUGGCUAAAAAGAAAGAAAGGCAAAUGAAGCACUCUUGCUUUCCACAAUUUAUAUCUGGGUUGUUUCCUGCCAGCUCCGAGUUCUGCAGGAGCACUGCAAAUCAUAUUCAGCAAACUCUGCUGGCUUUGGAGAUUGAUUUGCAAGAUACUGCCCUGCACUCUCAAGCAUCCCUUCCUUGACAGAGAGAGCUAGAUAUGACUUGGGAUACGACUUGGGUGAAAUCGGAGAGAAGUAGAGGGUAGUGAUGGGGGCAACACAAUCAGGUGGGCGGGGUGCAAGUAACCCUGGUGGUGGUGGUGGUGGUUGUGCAGGAACACUUAGCAGUUCUUCCUGCCAGCUUCAGGCUUGUGCAUCCUUUGUCUCUUACUCUGAUGUUUCAGGACCUUAUUCACAUCCUCCGUUGAACACUACAAGAGCAUUGCCAGACUGGCCAGAGAUAACAUGCGCCAUCCCAACUCAAAGAAGAGAGCCAUUGGCAUGGCAUUCUACUUGGAGAGUCAGAAGAUAUGGAGAAAGUAAUUGCGUGGAUGGCCAAUUUGUUGCCGGAAUUGGGAAUUUUGAAAGACGCGCUUGACCGCAUACAUAGGGUUGGGAAGCUGAGAAAUGAGUCAACUUGGCCGAGAGAUGUGGUAAUGUGCUUUGGGAGAUACACAGAGAGAGCAGGUAUUCAAGGCAAUGAAAGACUUGGAUAGACUUGAUAAAACUGUUGUAUAAUGGCAAGUAAGUGAUGGUUUUUGAUGACUUAUCUCUGGAAACAAUUAAAAGAUCGAGGCAAACUGAUAGAGUACUUACAAUUAGCAAGGAGAAUGGGGAUAGUGAGAGGAAACUCAACACAAGUAAAUAAGGAAUAAAUAAUUAAGGAGUAUCUCAAAGGGUACUGCGACAAUAAAAGCUUCCUGGCAGAUAUUGAAUGAGCUAUGCAAUACAAAGUAUCUGUUAGAAAAAGUUAAACUACGUUAAAGAAAAACAACUUUACAUAACUGUGUAAAUAGUUUAAUUGUAAAUCAGCACAACGGGUUUAGUCGGAAGUUUCUUUUCUUUGCAGAUUCGCACAGUGUUUACUAUAUUUGAUGGUUGUAAUUUACUUCUUAAUAUGUAUUUUAAAACUGUUUUUUCUAUCCACACUCAUUUCUUUUUCUUUCUUUUCCUUCUGUCCUUUUUUCUAUCUAUAUUCUUUAUAAUCUACAAUUAAGUGAAUGUUUGUUGGUAUUGUAUGUAUUUUAAGAUUUCUCUUGCUCAAU